GUGAAGGGUUAAAAAAAAAAAAGUUAAUUCGACGUUCCUGAAGUUCACAUGUACUGUGCUAUGCAUGGUUCAUUCAGGUUCAAUACAGGCUCGCGGGCAUUGCAAACGGAAUAUAUCCACAUCUACAUCAAAUUCAACCGCGGAUAUUCUGAGAAUAUUCUCAACAACAGUCCAUUGAGGAGUGUUUCAAAUCCUGGAACAAUAAACGAGGGAUAAGGGAUAUGAGAGGACUGGGAAAGGUGCUUGUCAAACAACACGAGCAGUCAUGCAUAUAUUCAGGCACUUAUGGAUAAAAGUAGAGGGUUUAUUAUGAAUAUAUAUUUAUCUACA
rnacentral:sRNA from 2 species